rnacentral:rRNA from 1 species
GAUUCUCUUUGGAGAAGAGCGGCGGACGGGUGAGUAACGCGUGGGUAACCUGCCCUGUACACACGGAUAACAUACCGAAAGGUAUGCUAAUACGAGAUAAUAUGCUUUUAUCGCAUGGUAGAAGUAUCAAAGCUUUUGCGGUACAGGAUGGACCCGCGUCUGAUUAGCCAGUUGGUAAGGUAACGGCUUACCAAGGCGACGAUCAGUAGCCGACCUGAGAGGGUGAUCGGCCACAUUGGAACUGAGACACGGUCCAAACUCCUACGGGAGGCAGCAGUGGGGAAUAUUGCACAAUGGGCGAAAGCCUGAUGCAGCAACGCCGCGUGAGCGAUGAAGGCCUUCGGGUCGUAAAGCUCUGUCCUCAAGGAAGAUAAUGACGGUACUUGAGGAGGAAGCCCCGGCUAACUACGUGCCAGCAGCCGCGGUAAUACGUAGGGGGCUAGCGUUAUCCGGAAUUACUGGGCGUAAAGGGUGCGUAGGUGGUUUCUUAAGUCAGAGGUGAAAGGCUACGGCUCAACCGUAGUAAGCCUUUGAAACUGGGAAACUUGAGUGCAGGAGAGGAGAGUGGAAUUCCUAGUGUAGCGGUGAAAUGCGUAGAUAUUAGGAGGAACACCAGUUGCGAAGGCGGCUCUCUGGACUGU